CUACGGAGGGUGCAAGCGUUAUCGGGAUUCAUUGGGUUUAAAGGGUGCGCAGGCGGACUUGUAAGUCAGUGGUGAAAUCCCGGGGCUCAACCUCGGAACUGCCAUUGAUACUGCAAGUCUUGAGUUUGGUUGAAGUGGGCGGAAUGUAGCAAGUAGCGGUGAAAUGCAUAGAUAUGCUACAGAACACCGAUCGCGAAGGCAGCUCACUAAACCAACACUGACGCUCAGGCACGAAAGCGUGGGGAGCGAACAGGAGUAGAAACCCCUGUAGUCC
rnacentral:rRNA from 1 species